GACGAAGGAUGCAAGCGUUAUCCGGAUUCAUUGGGUUUAAAGGGAGCGUAGGUGGCCUUAUAAGUCAGUGGUGAAAUCUCUGGGCUUAACCCAGAAAUUGCCAUUGAUACUGUAGGGCUUGAGUAUAGUUCCGUUGGCGGAAUAUGACAUGUAGUGGUGAAAAUACAUAGAGAUGUCAUAGAACACCGAUUGCGAAGGCAGCUGACGAAAACUAUAACUGACACUGAGGCUCGAAAAGUGUGGGGGAUCAAAACAGG
rnacentral:rRNA from 1 species